UUGUGUGGCUUCCAUUUUAUUUUAACUCUGUCUCUACUAUUAUUUUCUGCUCAGAUACAAAAUGUCCUAUCUUGGUUUCUUUCUUUAAGAAAGAGGAAAAGAUAUCAUGCAAGCUUAUUGAGUGUAUUAAUACAUAUUUGUUAAAUGAUGGUCCAAAUUUGUGCGGUCAUUUAUUACAGAUUCAUACUGCUAUACAACAAUUUGUGUUUCGUUGUUGGUUGACAACACAUGAUCGAGUGCUUAAGGAUUCACUUAUAUUGUAUUCAAGGAUUCAUGAAGUUUCUAAAGGCUAACAAAGAGAAACCAUGUCAGAUGGUGGCUGCUUACUUUUGGAGAAAUCGGAGGAUCACGGUUGAUCCAACACUCCUCCGCCUAAUCAAGAAAGUUAAUCAAAAGGCAAGUUCCCAAUUCUAAAUUCAAUUAAUUAAUAUGAGAUAUUGCAUUAAAAUUAAGUUACAAAAUCAGUUAUCUAUAUAGAAUAUGAGUUAAUUGUCACAUCAUAUGUUUAUACAUAAAUUAUAUGGUGGCUGAUUUUUUUUUGUGCAUAUAAUAUUUUAUAUAAUCAAACAAGUGCUAACGUAUAAGAUGUAAGCAAGGUUCAAAAGAGGAAGAAGGUAAAGGAUGUUGGGUUGAGGAAGAGAAAGCCUAGAAAGGGUGAAGACGAGAGAUGGACGUGUUAAUGGCAAUAAUAGACUUGAAGGUGGUGUCGAGGGUGCUGAGAAUGAAAGAGUUGAGCGAAGAGAAGUUGCAUUGGUGUGAACACAAGAUGAGCAAAGUUAGAAUCAUCGUAGGGAAGCUUCAAACAGAUUUAGAUCUAAACAAGGGAUAUAAUUCAAGGAUAUAAUUCAAAGAUAUAAUUUUAAACCCAAUAUCUGUUAGCAAGGGAAGCAAGUAAAGUAAAGUAAAGUGAGUAAGAACCUAUUUAUUGAUUUUUUUUUAGCUACUUGCAAAUCAUAUUUGUAUGUGCGCGUGCACAUUCAUUAUUGAUUCUCUGGAAAGUGGUACUAAUUAUUGACUUAUACGGUUGCAUUGCAUCUUUAAUUUCUUGUAAUCACUUCUUUUUAAUUACUUCUCAGCUCAUGGUCAAGUGAUAGAGAAGAAAUUAAUCUCCAUGACUCGUGAGAUGGAAAAGCUUUGUACUGAGAUUGCAAGUGCAGAGAAAAGGCAAUGUGCACCUGCCAAUCCAGCUAAUGAACAUGGAAACAUGAAGAGGAAGAAUGUUGCAAUUGUAGUAACUGGAGUGAUUAUUUUUUGGAUUAAUCAUAUGUACCAGCAUAGUAUUCAUUAAAUAUCUAGGUAAACACCGUCAUGGAUAUUAUUUGCCAUAUUAUUUUUGGAACCUUUGAAUGGGCUUAAUAUCUUAUUUUUACUGUAAUAUGUUUAUUUUGUUCUUCAUACUUUCAAAAACUAAUUGAAUGAAGAAUUUUCUACUGGAUCUUUAUUUCAAGGUGAACUUUAGUUGCCAUUUCUAGCACUUCUCUUGGUCAUCCUUUUCCCUUGUGACUUAUGAGGUCAUGAGAUUUAGGGACAUAAAAGGAAGUGCUAUCAUUUCAUUAUUGAUUGCAGUGUAUUUGACUUACCAUCAUUUCUCAAAAACAAGUUUACAGAAAUUACUUGAUCAAGGUUCAAUUGUUGUCACCAUAGCUGUUGUUUGUAUCACUAUUGCAUCUUUGUUGCUUCUAAUCUGAGUUGCUUUAGAAUGUAGACUCAUAAUAUGUUAUACAUAAUAAUGUCUGACUGUGGUGAUCAUUGUGUAAUAUAUCAUAUCUGGAUUCUGUACUUUUUUUACUAAUUAUUGUUGAUUCAAAUAAAGAGG